UUUAAUCAACAGAAUACUAAUAAUAGUUGACAUUAUUCUAAGAAAAAUCUUAGAAUUUCUCAAAUUCUUAGACAUUUCUUAGAAUUUUCCCUGAGUAAGAUGAAAGUUCUCCGCAAAGUACCUUAGGCCUUAAGAGAGCACCUAAGGUGCCAAACUGGUAAGAGUAGGGAGGAGGACUUUUAAGAAGCAUAAGAGUGU